UAGGGAAUCUUCCACAAUGGACGCAAGUCUGAUGGAGCAACGCCGCGUGAGUGAAGAAGGGUUUCGGCUCGUAAAGCUCUGUUGUUAAAGAAGAACACGUAUGAGAGUAACUGUUCAUACGUUGACGGUAUUUAACCAGAAAGUCACGGCUAACUACGUGCCAG
rnacentral:rRNA from 1 species